ensembl:lncRNA
CCCCCCACCCCCCGGCCGGCUGCCCUGGGCUCCCAGCUUCCGAGUUGCCUGGGCGAAGAAGACAAACACCCGAGAAAGCAUACACAACGUUUAUUGAGCUCUUCCGGUGAGCUGGACCUGAGCCGAGGGCUGGACACGGAGGCUCCCGUUUAAUCCGUCCGAUGUCCCUAGGAGGUAGGUAUUCCUGCUGUCCCCAUUCUACCAAAUGGGAAACAGGGACCUGGAGAGGUGAGUGUCCAGAAGGAAAGGAAGGAGGGCAUCUGGGCUGCAGACUCAGCUCGAGCUGACCCACAGGUCCCCACUCUUAACCAGAGAUGGGACGACCCCAGAGUGCCCCUGAAACCUGUCCCGCCCUGCGGGUUAGGGGCAGGGACAGAGGGCUCUGUGCCAGCCGAGCAGUAUCUGUUACACCCCUGUGACCUGUGCCAUCACAAUCGGCCCCAGCUAUAUAACCAGGGGCUGCCAGGGCCUCUGUAAAUCUGGACGUGCCGGAAAAGCAGGAGGGGAGGCCUCUGCCCCUCCAGACGUGGCCUCCCAUGGACACCAAAGCACAGGGCCUCCCUGUCACCCACUCUCAGCCCCACAGCAACUCUCGGCCCCAAAGCCACACCUGCAGCCAGUGCGACUGCAGCCACCACUGCCAGAACUGUAGCCAGAGUUUCGCCACUGGCCGCUGCAGCCAGAGGUCAAGCCCCAACGUGCCAAAGCAUCACAGUCACACCACGCACUCCCACUCCGGUCCCGCACGGCCCAUCACCCACUCCUGCAGCUACUCCAAGAAGAGGAAGAACCUGAAAAGACAGGGGAGCAAGAGGAAGGCGGUGAAGAGGAGCCAGCGGGUUGGCAAAACACAGAGGUGGCACUCAGGGCCCCUUUCUCAUUCCCUUCCUUAGGGCGGAAACACAACUGAGAGGCACCCCGCGGCUCAUUCCUGUGUCGGUUUCACCCAAAUGAGGACGCCAUCCCGCGUGGAACACUAGAAGGAAAGCGUUCUGCAGGAACACGUUAACUACAGGGAUUUCUAUGCAACACUGAUUAAAGCUUGCACACUGGAUGACUCUUCUUGUGUUGGCAUUUUAAUUGCACUAAAGGUGUCUAGCGUUCGGGGCCCUGGUUUGGAAGCAGGAAGCCGGGAAGAUGCUGCAUAGGGAGUAGGGACAGGCCACGUGACCUCAGGAAAGCAUAAGGAGCUAAUGCUGGCACAGGGGCAGAAACGAAUGAGGGGUGGGGACUCCGAGGAGCCUGUGAAGUAGACAAGCAACACUCUGCUUGGGCAGAGCCCUCCUGGGUGCACACACAGGGGAUGUCCAUGGGCCCGCACACUGUUUAUGUGCUCCCCACGCAAUAGUCCACCCAGGAGCAUGGCGGGAGACAGGCGGGAAGAGGGUCAGGAAUGUGCAUUCUGCAGUCCAGAGCAUCCUGAAUUUGAAUCCUGGAUCACUGAGUUGCCCUGCUGUGUGACCUUGGGCUGGGGAUGAACCUCUCUGAGCCACACUUGUUUCAACAAACUUUUACUAAGGAACCGAAUGUGUCUGGGGGCUGUGCUAGGCUCUGCGAACGCAGAAGACACACAAGGCCCUGUGACAAGGUCCAGCGUGUUUCUAAAGAUGCUGUUGGAGGCUGUUGUCGAGGACAGAAGGGACAAGAGAAAGAGCUGCUAGCCGGGUGUGGCCAGGAGAGAGGGACCACUGGCCUGGACGGAAGGGUGACACCGGAGAUCUUCCGAGACAGGGAUGACGGGUCUACUGGCAGCUUCUCAUCAAGCCUUCCGAGGACAGCCGAGGAGCCAGCCUGUCACCACCUGGAGUCCAGCCACCGCUCCUGUCAUCGCUCCGGGGCCGAGCCCUCUUUAUCCGGCUUCUAGAAAGACCUCAACUCUGCUGUCACCGCCUCCAAGAGGCCUUCCCUGACUGCCUUCUCUCACUCCUCCCGCACUGCACCAACAGCUCCUCGCUCCCUUUCUCCCUGUUCAUUGCCCCCCAGCACCUGCCACCAUCUGAGAUGAUGGCGUGAAUUCGCCGCCUGUCUGCUCGAAGACCCCUGGGCCCCUGGUGCCGGCAGAUAGGAGGCACUCUAUAAAUACUUGCAGAAUAAAUACUGAAGGAGGAAAAUAGAUACGCUAUUCCCCUUAUCCUGCAGAUGAGGAAACUGAGGCAUGGAGAAGCUUGCCCCAGGCCACAUGCUUAUUACGUGGCAGACUGAAACUCAGGCCGCUCAUGGCAGAAUCGAGGCUCUAAGCCACACAGCUCAGGGCCCCCAGAGGCACGGGCUCCCUUGGGAACCUAGGCUGCCCCGUGGGUUCGGAGAAAAGGCGGGCUGAGGGGCACGGGGGCAGAGGGCAGUUUCAGGAUUACAGGCCCUGUCCCGCGGCCACUGUUCCCAGCAGAACUGUGC